UAUCAAUUAUUUCAUCAAUUUGAACGAGGUCUCAUAUGUACCAUUCUAGUACUAUGUAAUGACGCCCCCGUUAAAUUGACCCGUUGACCCGACGGAAAUCGUGACGUUGCUGACUUGGCUCAUACCUGACAGUCCAGCUGUGCACCCACAACUUUUAAUAGAAAAAUAAAGUAAUUAUAAACUAAAAGCAAAAUAAAACAAAAGAAAAGGGUU
rnacentral:lncRNA from 1 species